AGUGAACGCUGGCGGUAGGCCUAACACAUGCAAGUCGAACGGCAGCACAGUAAGAGCUUGCUCUUACGGGUGGCGAGUGGCGGACGGGUGAGGAAUACAUCGGAAUCUACUUUUUCGUGGGGGAUAACGUAGGGAAACUUACGCUAAUACCGCAUACGACCUACGGGUGAAAGCAGGGGAUCUUCGGACCUUGCGCGAUUGAAUGAGCCGAUGUCGGAUUAGCUAGUUGGCGGGGUAAAGGCCCACCAAGGCGACGAUACGUAGCUGGUCUGAGAGGAUGAUCAGCCACACUGGAACUGAGACACGGUCCAGACUCCUACGGGAGGCAGCAGUGGGGAAUAUUGGACAAUGGGCGCAAGCCUGAUCCAGCCAUACCGCGUGGGUGAAGAAGGCCUUCGGGUUGUAAAGCCCUUUUGUUGGGAAAGAAAAGCAGCAGGUUAAUACCCCGUUGUUCUGACGGUACCCAAAGAAUAAGCACCGGCUAACUUCGUG
rnacentral:rRNA from 1 species